rnacentral:rRNA from 1 species
AAACUUACCAGGUCAAGACAUGGGCGUGAUUGACAGGCUAAUGACUUUUCUCGAUUCCAUGGAUGGUGGUGCAUGGUCGCACUUAGUUGGUGCAGUGAUUUGUCAGGUUUAUUCCGGUAACGAACGAGACCUCGGCCUUGUAAAUAGCUAUGCUGCUUACAGGGACAUUGGCGGCUACGCCAAGGAAGCUCGAGGCAAUUGCAGAUCUGGAAUGCCCUUAGAUGUCCUGGGUCGCACGCGUGCUACAAUGACGCCACGAACGAGCUUGCGUGAUGAAAGUUACGCAUAAUCAGCAGUCGGCGUCUUAAGGGAUAGUCUCUUGUAACUGUGGGACUCCAACUAGGAAUGUCUCGUAAGCACAAGUCAACAUCUUGUGUUGAUUACGUCCCUGCUCUUUGUACACACCGCCCGUCGCUCCUACCGAUCGAGUGUUUAGGUGAAUUUGAUGGACGUAAGGAAGUCAAAUAAACCUGAGCACUAGAGAAGAGAAGUCGAGAUCC